GGAAAGGGAGCAUAGAGCAGUUCCCUUCCCCUUUGAGGGAAGCACAGAAAGUUCGUCGUUGGCGUCAGUGCUGGAACUCAGCUCACGUCCUCACAAGGACCUCGAAGAAGAAUGCCAAGUGACAUCUCCGAAUGUGCACGUGACCCAGAGCUCUUCCGGAGAGCAGAAACACCAGGUCCAAAAUGGCCACCAGGAGGUGAGGGAGAAUGUCAGCUCAGCUUGGUUACUGUUAUCACGGAGCUGGUGGCCCAAAGAAAAAUCCGUCUACAUAGUACAAAACAGAGUGUGUCUACAGGUGCACGUAUGGGUUUAUUUUCUGGAAGGAGGAAGGCUGACAGGAACUUCAGACAUCACUUGUGAAACAGGCGCCGGUCACCUCACCCAACCUCAAGCCUCUCCACAGAGGCCCCGGGGACAGAAAAGGCACUCCAGCAAUUGAUGUCAGCGACCCACGGAGGGAAGAGCAGUACCCGGUCUCCGGAGACAACCCAGGAACUAAUUUCUCUUAAUCAGUUGUAGGGCCUCAGGAGAAGCCACCAGGCAAGAAGGGGAAAUAAAUCUGAAGGAGAAAACCAAAUUCUGCGAGGCGCUGGGAAGACCUGUAUUAAAAAGGGGGCACCAUACCUUUAGGACUGAAGAGCUGGCAGGGCCCCAUCCCUACGCAGCUAUUAAUAUGCAAAAAAUGCCUUCAUAAAUACUUGAUUCUGCUCACAGUGGGGAGGCCGUUCAUUUGAAAGGGGGAAAUGGGAGCUUGGAGUUGAAACACGUCUGCGCGUCUCCCUUCUCUCUUUUCAUGGCUCUUUUUAUCUUCACACUCCCCUUGUAGUUUUUCUCUGACUUAACCCCCUCCUCGAACUCCAAGGAAGUUGCUGAUGGCAGCUGCGGCGGCGCUCACUGAACCGAUGCAC